rnacentral:rRNA from 1 species
GAUGAACGCUGGCGGCGUGCCUAAUACAUGCAAGUCGAGCGAACAGACGAGGAGCUUGCUCCUCUGACGUUAGCGGCGGACGGGUGAGUAACACGUGGAUAACCUACCUAUAAGACUGGGAUAACUUCGGGAAACCGGAGCUAAUACCGGAUAAUAUAUUGAACCGCAUGGUUCAAUAGUGAAAGACGGUUUUGCUGUCACUUAUAGAUGGAUCCGCGCCGCAUUAGCUAGUUGGUAAGGUAACGGCUUACCAAGGCAACGAUGCGUAGCCGACCUGAGAGGGUGAUCGGCCACACUGGAACUGAGACACGGUCCAGACUCCUACGGGAGGCAGCAGUAGGGAAUCUUCCGCAAUGGGCGAAAGCCUGACGGAGCAACGCCGCGUGAGUGAUGAAGGUCUUCGGAUCGUAAAACUCUGUUAUUAGGGAAGAACAAAUGUGUAAGUAACUAUGCACGUCUUGACGGUACCUAAUCAGAAAGCCACGGCUAGCUACGU